rnacentral:rRNA from 1 species
CCUACGGGAGGCAGCAGUGGGGAAUAUUGCACAAUGGGGGAAACCCUGAUGCAGCGACGCCGCGUGAGUGAAGAAGUAAUUCGUUAUGUCAAGCUCUAUCAGCAGGGAAGAAAAUGACGGUACCUGAGUAAGAAGCCCCGGCUAACUACGUGCCAGCAGCCGCGGUAAUACGUAGGGGGCAAGCGUUAUCCGGAUUUACUGGGUGUAAAGGGAGCGUAGACGGCAGUGCAAGGCUGGAGUGAAAGGCGUGGGCUCAACCGCCGGACUGCACUGGAAACUGUCAGGCUGGAGUGCAGGAGAGGUGAGUGGAAUUCCGAGUGUAGCGGUGAAAGGCGUAGAUAGUAGGAGGAACACCAGUGGCGAAGGCGGCUUACUGGACUGUAACUGACGUUGAGGCUCGAAAGCGUGGGGAGCAAACAGGAUUAGAUACCCUAGUAGUC